rnacentral:rRNA from 1 species
GUGCACGCUGGCGGUGGGCCUAACACAUGCAAGUCGAACGGCAGCACAGUAAGAGCUUGCUCUUACGGGUGGCGAGUGGCGGACGGGUGAGGAAUACAUCGGAAUCUACUUUUUCGUGGGGGAUAACGUAGGGAAACUUACGCUAAUACCGCAUACGACCUACGGGUGAAAGCAGGGGAUCUUCGGACCUUGCGCGAUUGAAUGAGCCGAUGUCGGAUUAGCUAGUUGGCGGGGUAAAGGCCCACCAAGGCGACGAUCCGUAGCUGGUCUGAGAGGAUGAUCAGCCACACUGGAACUGAGACACGGUCCAGACUCCUACGGGAGGCAGCAGUGGGGAAUAUUGGACAAUGGGCGCAAGCCUGAUCCAGCCAUACCGCGUGGGUGAAGAAGGCCUUCGGGUUGUAAAGCCCUUUUGUUGGGAAAGAAAAGCAGCAGGUUAAUACCCCGCUGUUCUGACGGUACCCAAAGAAUAAGCACCGGCUAACUUCGUG